rnacentral:rRNA from 1 species
GGCGAAAGCCUGAUCCAGCCAUGCCGCAUGCAGGAUGAAGGCCUUCGGGUUGUAAACUUCUUUUGUUCGGAACGAAAAGGUUUGGCCUAAUAAGCUGAGCUCAUGACGGUACCGUAAGAAUAAGCACCGGCUAACUACGUGCCAGCAGCCGCGGUAAUACGUAGGGUGCGAGCGUUAAUCGGAAUUACUGGGCGUAAAGCGUGCGCAGGCGGUUAUGUAAGWCAGAUGUGAAAUCCCCGGGCUCAACCUGGGAACUGCAUUAGUGACUGCAUAGCUGGAGUACGGCGGAGGGGGAUGGAAUUCCGCGUGUAGCAGUGAAAUGCGUGAUAUGCGGAGGAACACCGAUGGCGAAGCAAUCCCCUGGGCCUGUACUGACGCUCAGC